rnacentral:rRNA from 1 species
UACGGAGGGUGCAAACGUUGCUCGGAAUCAUUGGGCGUAAAGCGCACGUAGGCGGUCUGUUAAGUCGGAUGUGAAAUCCCUCGGCUCAACCGAGGAAGUGCAUUCGAAACUGGCAGACUUGAAUAUGGAAGAGGGUCGCGGAAUUCCCGGUGUAGAGGUGAAAUUCGUAGAUAUCGGGAGGAACACCAGUGGCGAAGGCGGCGACCUGGGCCAAUAUUGACGCUGAGGUGCGAAAGCGUGGGGAGCAAACAGG